AGUCGUAACAAGGUUUCCGUAGGUGAACCUGCGGAAGGAUCAUUACUGAGUGAGGGCCCUCUGGGUCCAACCUCCCACCCGUGUUUAUUGUACCUUGUUGCUUCGGUGAGCCCGCCUCACGGCCGCCGGGGGGCUUCUGCCCCCGGGCCCGCGCCCACCGAAGACACCAUUGAACUCUGUCUGAAGAUUGCAGUCUGAGCAUAAACUAAAUAAGUUAAAACUUUCAACAACGGAUCUCUUGGUUCCGGCAUCGAUGAAGAACGCAGCGAAAUGCGAUAACUAAUGUGAAUUGCAGAAUUCAGUGAAUCAUCGAGUCUUUGAACGCACAUUGCGCCCCCUGGUAUUCCGGGGGGCAUGCCUGUCCGAGCGUCAUUGCUGCCCUCAAGCACGGCUUGUGUGUUGGGCUCCGUCCCCCCGGGGACGGGCCCGAAAGGCAGCGGCGGCACCGAGUCCGGUCCUCGAGCGUAUGGGGCUUUGUCACCCGCUCUGUAGGCCCGGCCGGCGCCAGCCGACAACCCAUCAUCCUUUUCAGGUUGACCUCGGAUCAGGUAGGGAUACCCGCUGAACCUAAGCAUAUCA
rnacentral:misc_RNA from 1 species